rnacentral:lncRNA from 1 species
UUUGACUCAUUUGGAUGUGCUUUUAAAAUGUAAAGCGCUUUUAGGGAAAAUGUUUUUGGGUUCCAAAAGCACUUUAAGUGUUUUUGUAAGAAGCACCAGUUAUGUACUUCUUCCAGGAAGCAUUUAAGUGCUUUUUCAAAAUUUAUUUACAUUUUUACUAAGGAUUGGUUCCAAAAACAUUUUCACCAAAAACGCUUUUAGUUAUUUUAAAAGUACAUCCAAACAAUAUUUUGUAGUAUUGUAUAUGGAGCUUAUGAAAGAAAUAGGAUCAAUUACUGUGCCUUGGUGUACAAGAUAGUGUUUUCAGUCAAUACAAGGAGGAGGACAUAAAACCAAAGCCUCGUCGGAAACAGACAUAAAGUAGACAAAGGUCAAACCGUGAGUGAAAUAGUAUAAAGAAUUACACAAGGCCACGCAAAACAAGAUUAAGAUAGUAAGUAAAAUAUUACUUUAUUCGAAAUAACAACAUGACAGAUGACUCCAAUUUCACACCAUAACUUCAACUUGUACUCAUCACCCUGAAAUAAACUCGAUGUGAUGCUCUUUGUUUCUCUCUUCACCUGAUUGACACUCUCAGAUCUCUAUCUCCUUACGUAGUGACGAGAAGAGGCUUCGAGGCAGUAUCAUCGCCAGGCUUAUCGGGAGUGUCAUCCUUAGGCUUAGUGGGAGUAUCAUUGAAGCAACCACAGCAGCACAAGAUCCUGCAAUACCACCGACAGCAACACAUUUCAGAUUUGAUUUCAUAACUUCUUAUGCUCUAUAAAAAAGAAUGAUAAUUAGAAAUAAAAAUAUAAAGGGGUUGUUGGUCACAGAUCAUAAUUACCAAGAACACCAAGUAGCACUACUGUCAACUCCUGCAGCGCCGCUAGAUUCUCCUGCGACAUUGACAUGUGCUCUUCCGCCGCCUCCAGGCCCUCCUCCUCCGCCUACAGGCCCUCCUCCUCCGCCUACAGGCCCUCCUCCU